rnacentral:rRNA from 1 species
CAUAAUCAUUAGUCUUUUAAUUGAAGGCUUGUAUGAAGGGUUUGACAAGAGAAAUACUGUCUUUUUAAUAAAAAUUGAAUUUAACUUUUAAGUGAAAAGGCUUAAAUGUUUCAGAGGGACGAUAAGACCCUGUAAAGUUUUAUAAGAGAUAAUUUUUAUCUAAUAUUUUAAAAGUUAAGAUUUAUAUUUUAUUAAGUUGGGGAAACUAAAGUAUAAUUGUUGUAAUUGCUUGUAUAUAAUACAAAUAUAUUUGAAUAUAAAUUAAAUGAUCCUUUAAUUAUUUAGGGAUUAAAAGAUUAAGUUACUUAAGGGAUAACAGCGUUAUUUUUUUUUGAGAGUUCUUAUUGAAAAAAGAGUUUGCGACCUCGAUGUUGAAUUAAAAUUUCUAUAUAGUGCAGUUGCUAUAUGGG